rfam:Picea glauca, whole genome shotgun sequence.
AAUUAGUGGUGUGCAUGAAUGGAUUAACAAGAUUCCCACUAUCCCUAGCUACUAUCUAGAGAAACCAUAGCCAAGGAAAUGGACUUGG